rnacentral:rRNA from 1 species
AGCAGCCGCGGUAAUUCCAGCUCCAAUAGCGUAUAUUAAAGUUGUUGCAGUUAAAAAGCUCGUAGUUGAAUUUCGAGACCGGUUUACUGGUCGUGCUUUUGUACGUACUGGUAUUAUUGGUUUCUCCUUUCUGACGAAUCAUAAUGCCAUUAAUUUGGUGUUUUGGGGAAUCAGGACUGUUACUUUGAAAAAUUAGAGUGUUUAAAGCAGGCUCACGCUUGAAUACAUUAGCAUGGAAUAACGAAAUAGGACGUUUGAUUUUAUUUUGUUGGUUUCUAGGAUCGACGUAAUGAUUAAUAGGGAUAGUUGGGGGCAUUAGUAUUCAAUUGUCAGAGGUGAAAUUCUUGGAUUUAUUGAAGACUAACUACUGCGAAAGCAUUUGCCAAGGAUGCUUUCAUUAAUCAAGAACGAAAGUUAGGGGUCGAAGACGAUCAGAUACCGUCGUAGUCUUAACCAUAAACUAUGCCGACUAGGGAUCGGAUGAUGUUAAUUUUUUAAUGACUCAUUCGGCGCCUUACGG